CCUCAGAGGCACUUGUAGGGAAACCAAGGAAAACACACAGGUUCAUCCCUGGAGCGGAUUCGAGAAACCAGUCGGCAGAGGGAGAGGCAGUCUAGGAGGUUGACUUUUAGACGUCAGGGUCGGGCCCUGGAGCGGGUUGCCAUGUCCUUCUCCAGGAGGCCUUCCUGGCCCGGGGAUGGAACCCGGGUCUCCUGCAUCGCAGGCAGACUCUUGACCGUGUGAGCCACCAGGGAAGCUCCGUCAGAAACAUUCACCAAGUCCUCUAGCUUCCAUCCGCAGGGCUUCAGGCACAGGGCCUUUUGAGUUCUCCGUCAGAAGGGCAAGAGAACAUGGGACGUUGGUCCCUCCCCCCCCGAGAGAGGGUUGUUUGAUAGCGGAGGCAGCUCGGAACACUUCAGGCUCCAGUCCCCCUCUCGGGUGAAGAACCACACGCAAAGCAACACACACACACACACACACACACACACACAUAUAGGACACGACUCUCCUAUCCGGAAGUGUGUACCCCCGUUUCACGGAAACAUCCUCUGGGCCCCUAAGGAACGUGUGGCAAUCACUCUGGCCAAGGAGAUAAGAAUCCUCCACGGAGAGUUUCUGAAGUCUGGAAGGACCAGGUCGAGAGAAAAAGAGAGACGAUUCCCUUCUGCUGAGAGGGGUGCUGUAUGAAGCGACCAAGGGGAUGUCCAUCUUUCCAAAUUCCCAUUUUAAACCUCGUGUCCUUUUCGGUCCUUUGUUUUUCCCUUUGUAUCUGGAAAGCAACAGGUGGAACGGUAGGUCCUUUCAUUAUUUUCUUUCUUUCUUUCUUUCUUUCUUUCUUUCUUUCUUUCUUUCUUUCUUUCUUUCUUUCUUUCUUUUUCCUGCCUGCCUGCCUGCCUGUCCGCCCGCCCGUCCCUCCAUCUGUCUUCUCUCUGUCUCUCUCGCUUUUCACUCAGGUUAGGGAAUUUAAAAAAAAAAAAAAAAGAGGACUCUGUAUUUCUGCAGGUCAGGAAGCAACAGUGAAAACUAGACAUAGAACCCAACAGGCUGGUUCCAAAUAAGGGAAAGGAGUCCAUCAAGGCUGUCUAUCGUCACCCUGCUUAUUGAACGUACACGCUGAGUACACAUCAUGAGGAGCGCUGGGCUGGAUGAAGCACAAGCUGGAAUGAAGAUGGCCGGGAGACACAUCCAUCCCCUCAGAUAUGCACACGACAGCACCCUCACGGCAGAAAUGAAGCCCAGGGUGGGUUUCCAAAGUCGUGUUCGUUUCAGGUGUUCAGUCUUUUCCCUUGGAGAGGUUCAUGCAACAUCAUACGUCUACUUUCCCGUGCUGGCAUAGUAUAUAGUAGGUGCUUGUGGAUUCUUUGGAUGUACAGUUUAUGUGUCCAUGUUCAACCAGCCCUCCUAAGUGGACCGUCCUGCCCUUCCUCCCCCCGCCCCAGCCCCCCCAUCCUCUUUUCCUCAAGAAGUCAGGCAUCCACUUCAGCCUCCUGUUCCUCAGUUCAUCCAACCCCAUGGAAGAAGUCACCCCUCCAGUUUUUCCAUCGGUUCUCUACACCUCGCCUGAUGGUGGCGGGUGACUGGAAGACUGACAGUUCUGAAGAACUUUGCAAGAGCUUUGGGUGAAGCGUGUCCAUCAGUAAAGACCAUGGAAGGUAUGCCCCACGUGGCAAACACCAUUGCUUUGAGUUGUGGUCGGUUUGCCUGGCUUCAGUGAGGGACGGAAGGGAGGCUUCCACCUUCCACAGAGAAAGCUAUCCCUAGCGUACCAAGGACGUUUGACAACCCCCCGCCACCCCAGGUUACAGGCGCGACAGGCCAGACUGUAGCAAUCAUCAUGUCCAGGGUGUGUUUAAAACAGGCAGACUCAUCUUAAAGGCACUCUGUCCUGUGAAGGUGGAGGGAGGGGAGCGAGAGGCAGAGGGACGACGACAGAGGAAGGAAGGAGAAAAAGAGGGGACAGGAACACACAGAGUGGGGCGGGGUGGGGGGGGGGGUGAGGCAUGUGUGGCGUGUCUGUGACAUGCCCAGGUGGUGUUGCGUGGGUGGAGAGUGUGCGGCCGUGUGUGUGUGUGUGUGUGUGUGUGUGUGUGUGUAUGGGGGGGGGGGGUAGGUGUGUGGUGUAUAGCUGCCACGGGGGGCCGUGUGGGCGGCAUGGGUGUGUGCGUGUGGCGUCCGCCUGUGGGUGCGGGGGCAGAGACAGAGGCCGAGAGACACAGCCAGGCAAAGGACAACGCAGUGUGUGUGUUGGGGGGGCGGGGAGGGGGUGGUGGGGGUGGGUGGUGUGUGGCCGGUGUGAAGGGCCCUGCGUGUGUGUGGGCGGGCUGUGUGUGUGGUGUGGGCGGCAUGGGUGUGUGCGUGUGGCGUGCGCCUGUGGAUGCGGGUCUGGGGGGGCGGGGUCAGAGACAGAGGCCAAGAGACACAGCCAGGCAAAGGACAACAAAGUGUGUGUGGGGGUGGGGGGGCCGGGGGGGGGAGGUGUGUGUGUGUGUGGCCAGGUGGGGGGGAGGUGUGUGUGGUGUGGGGGUGGCGGGGCGGGGUGUGAGAGUGUGUGUGUGUGCGCGCGCGCGCGUGUGUGUGGGCAUGCAUGUGGUGUGUGGGCAGAGGCAGAGCGUCACAUCCAGGCAAAGGACAACGCUGUGUGUGUGUGUGUGUGCGUAUGUGUGUGGUGUGGGCCGGGUGUCUGUGUGUUGGGGGGGGAGGGCGAGGCAGUGUGUGGCGUUGUGGCAUGCUCAGGUGGUAGUGCGUGGGUGGUGUGUGUGGCCGUGUGAGUGUGUUGGGGUGGGGGGGGGGUGGUUCGUGUGUGGUGUGGGUUUGUUGUGUAUAGGUGCCACGAGGGCGCGUGUGGGCCGCAUGGGUGUGUGCGUGUGGGGUGCGCCUGUGGGUGCGGGUCGGCAGAGACAGAGGCCGAGAGAGACAGCCAGGCAAAGGACAACGCUCUGUGUGUGUGGGUGUGGUGUGAAGGGCCCUGCGUGUGGGCGGGGUGUGUGUGUGGUGUGGGCGGCAUGGGUGUGUGUAUGUGUGUGUGGCGUGCGCCUGUGGGUGCAGGGGCAGAGACAGAGGCCGAGAGACACAGCCAGGCAAAGGACAACAAAGUGUGUGUGUGUGUGGGGGGGGGGGGGGGGGGCGGGGCGGGGGAGUGUGUGUGUGUGUGCCCGCGCGUGCGUGUGGGCAUGCAUGUGGUGUGUGGGCAGAGACAGAGGCAGAGCGUCACAGCCAGGCAAAGGACAACGCAGUGUGUGUGUGUGUGUGUGUGUGUGUGUGUGUGUGUGUGUGUGGUGUGGGGGGAGGGGGUGUGCGUGGGGGGGGCGGGGUGUUUAUGGGCUGUGUGUGUGUGGGGGGGGAUGCGUGUGUGCACGCCGUGUGGGGGUGGGGGUGGGGGUGUGUGUAUGGGGGGAGGGGGUAGGCGUGUGGUGUGAGUGUGUUGUGUAUAGCUGCCACGGGGGGCCGUGUGGGCGGCAUGGGUGUGUGCGUGUGGCGUCCGCCUGUGGGUGCGGGGGCAGAGACAGAGGCCGAGAGACACAGCCAGGCAAAGGACAACGCAGUGUGUGUGUUGGGGGGGCGGGGAGGGGGUGGUGGGGGUGGGUGGUGUGUGGCCGGUGUGAAGGGCCCUGCGUGUGUGUGGGCGGCAUGGGUGUGUGCGUGUGGCGUCCGCCUGUGGGUGCGGGGGCAGAGACAGAGGCCGAGAGACACAGCCAGGCAAAGGACAACGCAGUGUGUGUGUGUGUGGGGGGGGGGGGGGGGGGGGGGGGUUGGUGGGGGUGGGUGGUGUGUGGCCGGUGUGAAGGGCCCUGCGUGUGUGUGGGCGGG
ensembl:lncRNA